CCUACGGGAGGCAGCAGUGGGGAAUUUUGGACAAUGGGCGCAAGCCUGAUCCAGCAAUGCCGCGUGAGUGAAGAAGGCCUUCGGGUUGUAAAGCUCUUUUGUCAGGGAAGAAACGGUGGGAGCUAAUAUCUCCUACUAAUGACGGUACCUGAAGAAUAAGCACCGGCUAACUACGUGCCAGCAGCCGCGGUAAUACGUAGGGUGCAAGCGUUAAUCGGAAUUACUGGGCGUAAAGCGUGCGCAGGCGGUUUUGUAAGUCUGUCGUGAAAGCCCCGGGCUCAACCUGGGAAUUGCGAUGGAGACUGCGAGGCUUGAAUCUGGCAGAGGGGGGUAGAAUUCCACGUGUAGCAGUGAAAUGCGUAGAGAUGUGGAGGAACACCGAUGGCGAAGGCAGCCCCCUGGGUCAAGAUUGACGCUCAUGCACGAAAGCGUGGGGAGCAAACAGGAUUAGAUACCCUGGUAGUCCACGCCCUAAACGAUGUCUACUAGUUGUCGGGUUUUAAUUAACUUGGUAACGCAGCUAACGCGUGAAGUAGACCGCCUGGGGAGUACGGUCGCAAGAUUAAAACUCAAAGGAUUGACGGCUGNGAGNGCGAGACGACGACGAGGAGGAGG
rnacentral:rRNA from 1 species